CUACGUGCCAGCAGCCGCGGUAAUACGUAGGGUGCGAGCGUUAAUCGGAAUUACUGGGCGUAAAGCGAGCGCAGACGGUUACUUAAGCAGGAUGUGAAAUCCCCGGGCUCAACCUGGGAACUGCGUCCUGAACUGGGUGACUAGAGUGUGUCAGAGGGAGGUAGAAUUCCACGUGUAGCAGUGAAAUGCGUAGAGAUGUGGAGGAAUACCGAUGGCGAAGGCAGCCUCCUGGGAUAACACUGACGUUCAUGCCCGAAAGCGUGGGUAGCAAACAGGAUUAGAUACCCUGGUAGUCCACGCCCUAAACGAUGUCGAUUAGCUGUUGGGCAGCAUGACUGCUUAGUAGCGAAGCUAACGCGUGAAAUCGACCGCCUGGGGAGUACGGUCGCAAGAUUAAAACUCAAAGGAAUUGACGGGGACCCGCACAAGCGGUGGAUGAUGUGGAUUAAUUCGAUGCAACGCGAAGAACCUUACCUGGUCUUGACAU
rnacentral:rRNA from 1 species